UAAACCUAAAGAAUUUGGCGGUGUUUUAUUCUAUUCAGAGGAAUUUGCUCCAUUAUCGAUAGUCCUCGUUUUAUCUUACUUUAUUUUGUUUUCAGUUUGUAUAUCGCCGUUAUAAGUUUAUUUUUGUAGAAUUUAAUUUACUUUAUUAUUUAUUUAUAGUUAUUUCAGGUCAAGGUGCAGCUUAUAUUAAAGUGGAAGUGAAUUACAAUAUUAUUUAAAUAAAUGAAUUUAUUUUUUAAAUAAAUUAAUGAAAGUGGAUUUGUUAGUAAUUUUAAUUAUAAAGUUAUUUUGAUUUUAGUUCUAAAAUAAGUACACAUCGCCCGUCGCUCUA
rnacentral:rRNA from 1 species